CAGUAGCCGCGGUAAUACGUAGGGUGCAAGCGUUAAUCGGAAUUACUGGGCGUAAAGCGUGCGCAGGCGGUUUGUUAAGACAGAUGUGAAAUCCCCGGGCUCAACCUGGGAACUGCAUUUGUGACUGGCAGGCUAGAGUAUGGCAGAGGGGGGUGGAAUUCCGCGUGUAGCAGUGAAAUGCGUAGAUAUGCGGAGGAACACCGAUGGCGAAGGCAGCCCCCUGGGCCAAUACUGACGCUCAUGCACGAAAGCGUGGGGAGCAAACAGGAUUAGAUACCCCGGUAGUCCCUGUCUCUUAUAC
rnacentral:rRNA from 1 species